ensembl:snoRNA SNORA72 Small nucleolar RNA SNORA72
CUGCGAAUAUUCUCGCUCCUCUAACUUUGUAAUAAUUUGGGCAGGCUAAACAUGUGCUACACUGAGACCAUGUUUGUGUCUCCAGACCUAGAUCUUUCCUUAGUUCUGGUUUUAUAAAUGCCGGUAGUAAAU